CGGCAAUUCCGUUGUUCUUGCGACCACUCGCGUUCGGAAAGUGUUGGCGCGCAGCAAAAGCACACCCAAUCAAUUUAAUUCAUUCGGAAGUCGCAUCGCGCAUAGUGCAAACAUAAUGGAAAUUCGUCCUCAAGUAGCUGUACUUAGGAGACGUGAAUAUUUUUUACAAAAAAAUAAUAAAAGAAAAUAAUUUAAAAAGUAUAAAUAGUGUAAAUGGAAAAUUUCGUGUGGUUGGUGCUAUUUAUAAAGUGUUUGUUGUGAUCGGUGUGCACCAACAUCUGGCGUGUAUAUAUUGUCAAUGUGUUCACUCGUGUCGUGUUUUUGUGCACUCUUUUUAGUAUAAUUGCUUGUACCGAAGAUGUGACCUCGCACUUCACCAGUCAAGUGAUGGUUUAAAGGACUAUGGCUGAGCAGAUGCAAGCCAACAACCAUCGUGUUAUUGGCGAGGUAAAGCCGGGAUUGCUGAACGAGGUGCUAUUUAAAAUUACACUAUCAAGAUGGUCUUCAUAAGAAGCAGUCGUGGUCAUCAUAUGCUUUAUAAUCAGUUUUAACACGAAAUUUCAUGAAAUUUACGAAUGAUAUUUAUAAAUAUUAAGAUUCAAAUUGUUGAA